UACGGAGGGUGCAAGCGUUAUCCGGAUUCACUGGGUUUAAAGGGUGCGUAGGCGGCGCGGUAAGUCGGGUGUGAAAUCUCGGAGCUUAACUCCGAAACUGCAUUCGAUACUGCCGUGCUUGAGGACUGGAGAGGAGACUGGAAUUUACGGUGUAGCGGUGAAAUGCGUAGAUAUCUGGAGGAACACCAGUGGCGAAAGCGCGUGACUGGGCCACAACUGACGCUGAGGAACGAAAGCCAGGGGAGCGAAAGGG
rnacentral:rRNA from 1 species